CGGCGCCCGGCUUCCCGGGGAGCCGCAGGUGAGGCCGCGCCGGUGUGCGGCGGCGCCCCGGCUGGCCUCUGGCUAGGAGCCCGAGACCGGCGGUCUCCUGCCGGGACGAAGGGGCCAGCGUGGAGACGCGGGUGGACUCAGGUCUCCGGGAGCCGGUCCGGAACCCUGUGGGCCCUCUGCCUUUGCCCCCGAUGUAAGCCAGGAGACAGCCCCCCUGCCCUGCUGGAGCCAGACCGUUGAUGGAGGGCCCCGAUGGGUGAUGUAUGUAGCCCCUGGAAACAGACUAAAGAGCGGCGGCAAGAAAGGAGUUGGUCUCCACAAACCGCCCGAAGUCAAGAUUCCACCUACAGGUGGAGAUCAUACAGUAUUUGUCUUUCUCUGACUUAUUUCACUUAG